AGCAGUCGGAGCACCCUUCGGGGUGUGACGGCGUGCCUUUUGUAGAAUGAGCCAGCGAGUCGCUGGCGCGGGGCGAGGUUAACCGAAAGGGAGCCGGAGCGAAAGCGAGCCUUAACAGGGCGACUUGAGUCCCGCGCCGCGGACGCGAAGCCGGGUGAGCUAUCCGUGGGCAGGCUGAAGCGGGGUAAGACCCCGUGGAGGGCCGAACGCACGUCGGUUGAAAACGGCGGCGAUGACCUGCGGAUAGGGGUGAAAGGCCAAUCAAACCCGGAGAUAUCUCGUUCUCCCCGAAAUAGCUUUAGGGCUAGCGUCGCGCGUUCACCGCCGGAGGUAGAGCACCGGAUGGACGAGGGGGCUUCGCCGCCUACCGAAUCCAACCGAACUCCGAAUGCCGGCGGCCCAGAGCGCGGCAGUCAGAGCAUGUGGGCUAAGCUGUGUGCUCGAGAGGGAAACAGCCCGGACCGCCCGCUAAGGUCCCCAAGUUCCAGCCGAGUGGCAAAGGAUGUGCGUCCGCCCAGACAA
rnacentral:rRNA from 1 species